GAUGAACGCUGGCGGCGUGCCUAAUACAUGCAAGUCGAGCGAACGGACGAGGAGCUUGCUGCUCUGAUGUUAGCGGCGGACGUGUGAGUAACGCGUGGAUAACCUACCUAUAAGACUGGGAUAACUUCGGAAAAGCGGCUCUAAUACCGUAUGAUAUUUUGAACCGCGUGGGUCAAAAGUGAAAGACGGUCGUUGUGGCACUUAUAGAUGCAUCCCCGCUGGAUUGGAUGGUUGGUAAGGUAACGGCUUACGAAGGCAACGAUGCAUAGCCGAACUGAGAGGGUGGUAGGCCACCCUGGAACUGGGACACGGUCAAGACUCCUACGGGAGGCAGCAGUAGGGAAUCUUACGCAAUGGGCGAAAGCCUGACGGAGCAACGCCGCGUGAGUGAUGAAGGUCUUCGGAUCGUAAAACUCUGUUAUUAGGGAAGAACAUAUGUGUAAGUAAAUGUGCCCAUAUUGACGGUACCUAAUCAGAAAGCCACGGCUAACUACGUG
rnacentral:rRNA from 1 species